UACGGAGGAUGCAAGCGUUAUCCGGAAUCAUUGGGCGUAAAGCGUCCGCAGGUGGCAUGUCAAGUCUGCUGUCAAAGACUGGAGCUUAACUCCGGGAAGGCAGUGGAAACUGAGAAGCUAGAGUACGGUAGGGGUAGCAGGAAUUCCCAGUGUAGCGGUGAAAUGCGUAGAGAUUGGGAAGAACAUCGGUGGCGAAAGCGUGCUACUGGACCGAAACUGACACUCAGGGACGAAAGCUAGGGGAGCGAAAGGG
rnacentral:misc_RNA from 1 species